AGCUUGCUCCCUGAAGUCAGCGGCGGACGGGUGAGUAACACGUGGGCAACCUGCCUGUAAGACUGGGAUAACUCCGGGAAACCGGGGCUAAUACCGGAUAACUCUUUUCCUCACAUGAGGAAAAGCUGAAAGAUGGUUUCGGCUAUCACUUACAGAUGGGCCCGCGGCGCAUUAGCUAGUUGGUGAGGUAACGGCUCACCAAGGCCACGAUGCGUAGCCGACCUGAGAGGGUGAUCGGCCACACUGGGACUGAGACACGGCCCAGACUCCUACGGGAGGCAGCAGUAGGGAAUCUUCCGCAAUGGACGAAAGUCUGACGGAGCAACGCCGCGUGAGUGAUGAAGGUUUUCGGAUCGUAAAACUCUGUUGUCAGGGAAGAACAAGUACCGGAGUAACUGCCGGUACCUUGACGGUACCUGACCAGAAAGCCACGGCUAACUACGUGCCAGCAGCCGCGGUAAUACGUAGGUGGCAAGCGUUGUCCGGAAUUAUUGGGCGUAAAGCGCGCGCAGGCGGUUCCUUAAGUCUGAUGUGAAAGCCCCCGGCUCAACCGGGGAGGGUCAUUGGAAACUGGGGAACUUGAGUGCAGAAGAGAAGAGUGGAAUUCCACGUGUAGCGGUGAAAUGCGUAGAGAUGUGGAGGAACACCAGUGGCGAAGGCGACUC
rnacentral:rRNA from 1 species